GGCUCAGAACGAACGCUGGUAGCGUGGAUUAGGCAUGCAAGUCGAACGGGAUCAGCCGGAUAGCAAUAUUCGGCUGUGAGAGUGGCGGAUUGGGGAGGAGCACGUGAGCAACCUGCCCUUGGGUCGGGGGAAAACCUCUGGAAACGGAGGCUAAUACCGGAUGCGGCGCUUAGGAGACAUCUCCGGAGCGCCAAAGGGGGCCGCAAGGCUCCCGCCCUCGGAGGGGCUCGCGCACCAUCAGCUUGUUGGCGGGGUAACGGCCCACCAAGGCUUACGGUUGGCUGGUCUGAGAGGAUGACCAGCCCCACUGGGACUGAGAUACUGCCCAGACUCCUACGGGAGGCUGCAGUCGAGGAUCAUUCGCAAUGGGCGAAAGCCUGACGAUGCGACGCUGCGUGGAGGAUGAAGGCCUUCGGGUUGUAAACUCCUGUCAUGGGGGAACAGGCGAGGGGACCCAACACGUCCCUUAGUUGAGUGUACCCCAAGAGGAAUUGGCGGCUAACUCUGUGCCAGCAGCUGC
rnacentral:rRNA from 1 species